GACGGUCUAUAAAGUACGGAAAUUUCUUAGCAGAGCACAGCUGGAAAGCUGGACCACAGGGGGUAAUAGUCCCGUAUGCGAAAAGAAACGACCAGAACUGACCGAUCCAGAGUACCACGAGACACGUGAAACCUUGUGGGAAGCAGGGGGGACCACCCCCCAAGGCUAAAUACUACCUGAUGACCGAUAGUGAAGCAGUACCGUGAGGGAAAGGUGAAAAGAACCCCGGGAGGGGAGUGAAAUAGAACCUGAAACCGUGCACUUACAAACGGCUAAAGCACUAUUAUAAAGUGUGAUAGCGUGCUUUUUGUAGAACGAGCCAACGAGUUACGAUAUGCAGCAAGGUUAAGUACUUAAGGUACGGAGCCGAAGGGAAACCGAGUCUUAAUAGGGCAACAAGUUGCAUGUCGUAGACCCGAAACCGGGUGACCUAUCCAUGGCCAGGUUGAAGCGAGAGUAAAAUCUCGUGGAGGACCGAACCAAAUUGAUGUUGAAAAAUCAUGGGAUGAGCUGUGGAUAGCGGAGAAAUUCCAAUCGAACUCGGAGAUAGCUGGUUCUCCUCGAAAUAGCUUUAGGGCUAGCGUCGGAUAUAUGAGUUAUGGAGGUAGAGCACUGAAUGGGCUAGGGGGCAUAUCGCUUACCGAACCUUAUCAAACUCCGAAUGCCAUAUACUAUUAGUCCGGCAGUCAGACUGUGUAAGAUAAGUUUCAUAGUCGAAAGGGAAAAAGCCCAGACCGUCAGCUAAGGUCCCCAAGUAUAGGUUAAGUGGAAAAGGAUGUGGGAUUUCUAAGACAACUAGGAUGUUGGCUUAGAAGCAGCCACUCAUUAAAAGAGUGCGUAAUAGCUCACUAGUCGAGAGAUCCCGCGCCGAAAAUGUCCGGGGCUAAAACCUAUCACCGAAGCUACGGGUGGCACCUUCAUGGUGCCGCGGUAGAGGAGCGUUCUGUACUGGCUGAAGCCAUACCGUAAGGAGUGGUGGACGGUACAGAAGUGAGAAUGUUGGCAUAAGUAGCGAGAUGCGGGUGAGAAUCCCGCAGGUCGAAAAUCUAAGGUUUCCUGAGGAAGGUUCGUCCGCUCAGGGUUAGUCGGGUCCUAAGCCGAGGCCGAGAGGCGUAGGUGAUGGACAAUCGGUUGAUAUUCCGAUACCACUAUGAAGCGUUUGACCGAAGGGGUGACGCAGGAGGAUAAGAUGUGCGUACGAUUGGAUUGUACGUCCAAGCACUGAGAGAGAGCAGGGAGGCAAAUCCCUCUGCUUGUUAAUCUCAAGGUGUGAUGGGGAG
rnacentral:rRNA from 1 species